rnacentral:rRNA from 1 species
CAGCAGCCGCGUGAAUACGAAGGGUGCAAGCGUUAAUCGGAAUUACUGGGCGUAAAGCGUGCGUAGGCGGUUUGUUAAGUCUGUUGUGAAAUCCCCGGGCUCAACCUGGGAAUGGCAAUGGAUACUGGCAAGCUAGAGUGUGUCAGAGGAUGGUGGAAUUCCCGGUGUAGCGGUGAAAUGCGUAGAGAUCGGGAGGAACAUCAGUGGCGAAGGCGGCCAUCUGGGACAACACUGACGCUGAGGCACGAAAGCGUGGGGAGCAAACAGGAUUAGAUACCCCCGUAGUCCCUGUCUCUUAUAC